CAAUGUUCACGCGUAUUUCGAUAUUAAUAUAUAAAAAAAGAAGAUGCGGUAUGAUUGCCAAUGAGACAACUAUCCACAAAAGACCAAAAAGACACAGACAGUAACAACUAUAGGUCACCGUACGGCCUUCAACAAUGAGCAAAGCCCAUACCGCAUAGUCAGCUAUAAUAGGCCCCGAUUAGACAAUGUAAAACAAUUCAAAC
rnacentral:lncRNA from 1 species